GUGAGAACGGGGUUAGACACAGAAGUAAGAUCACAUGAACUCCGACUUCGGAUGGAACACGUCAUCCAUUUAAACCCUCGAGCCGAGCUCAACUGGAAACUCCACCUGAGCUGGAAGAAACUUGAGCUUGCAAGAAAAAUAAACCAGAGAAUUUUGAAGGGUUGAGCCCACCCACGGUCCCUGCUCCGUGCUGGGAGGUCUAGG
rnacentral:lncRNA from 10 species